CACUGGCAAUAGAAAAGUGAGUUGGAGCCACCUUCACAGCCACCCCGUAUGGUGCACUCCAACCGACACUAUACGUCUCGUUACCAGCAAUGUUAACCACUGUUCUUUGAACUGUUCUACAUUGAUCUAGCUUAGAAAUUGUGACUGAGGGCAAGUUCAGGUCAGCACCAUUGAUGGUUGAAUUAUACAUCCAACAAUUUUGGCCUGUGUAGUUGAAGAUCACAGGACCAGAACCAUUAAUGCCACACAGAAACGACAUAUAGUCAUUAUAACUGGAAUCAAAAAUCAAACCGGGAUCCAGAGCUGCUGUUGCAUUUACAAAACCAUUGCCCAUAUCAAAUGGUGUUGCUGGAGACUUAUUUAACUCUGGGUUGGCAUAAGAACGUUGAGCCAAUAUUGGCCCGCCAUUCUUGUCAUAUAAAGAAGCUGUUGUGGAGAGUGCUGAGGCUAUUGCUGAAGGACUGAAAUUGGGGAACCUUUGCUUAAUGAGCGCAGCAAGUCCAGCAACAUGAGGAGCAGCCAUGCUCGUUCCGGACAUCAUUGCAAAGUUCUCACCUUGGAAUUCUACAGAGUCAGUUCCAAGAGAACUCCAAGCUGCCCAUAUAAAAUUUCCAGGAGCUACCAGGUUUGGUUUUAAAAUGUCAGCAUCAUCAAGAAGACUGUCUUCAGGAUCUGGUCCUCUAGCAGAGUAAUACAUAAUGACAGGAGCAGAACUGUUGUAGUUAGCUUUCAGCCCACCAGAAAUGCUUGCAACUGCCCCAAAUCUAGUGAUUUUCUUUGAGAAUUCAUCUCGCUCCAAAGAAGAAUUAUAGUAUUUAAGUAAAAUCUUGGAAUCAUCAGGGGAUGAAAUUAUUAUGCCAGACAUCCUCAUUGGAAUUGGAUUAAGCUGAAAGCCAAUCACAAAAGGAUCCAUGUAGAACACAACACCAGUAGCACUGAGGUUUUUGGCUGUUUCUAAAGCUUGUUUGAUGGUGGAGAGCCCAAGCACAAAUCGAAUUGAAUAACUACAUAUCAGGAGUUUCCCUUGGACCAGAUCCUGGUUGAAGUUGCUGGAAUCUUGGCAUUCACCCACAUACAUAUCAUCGGUAACUGUUGUGUCAUUGUUCAAAGCAUGAAGAGCAGAUAUCAACGUGUACAUAGUAUCAUUAUCCGUUCCCGGUGCAAGUCCAACUCCAGUAAUAGUUACAUUGUUGCCAAGCGUUAUAGAGUUAAUAUAGACUCUGUCAUGACAAGCAGCACCAACAGUGAAGAUCCAUGGACUGAAGGAAGACAUGCUCUUUGGCGAUGGUCCGGUAUUGCCUGCUGCUUGCACAACAAAAAUGCCAGCCUUCACAGCUGAGAGCAAAGCCAUGUCUAUGGGAUUAAAAAAUGUGGCGAGACCAGGAGGGCGCCUGUUGGGAGUGAUUGAUAAACUUAUAAUGUCAACCCCAUCCUGAGCUGCCUGGUCUAUUGCAGCAACAACAUCUGCAGCAAAGCCUCCAAAACUCUUAUACAAUGCCUUGUACACAGCAAUACUGUGAAAGACAGGCUUGCAGUUAAUACAAAAGUACCAUUACUGCAGACAGACACAUUAUGAAGUUGAAAUUUAAAAACAAGCAAUUUCGCAAGAAAUAAUAUAAAAUAUGAGUUUCCAGCUCUCUUUCUUGGUUGUGAGGAUACCUAAUAGCUCUUUCACAGAGUUUACCAAGUUAGCAAUUUUCAUAGUAUACAAGUACUAUUAAACUAUGUAUUUCUCAUGAAUUUAAUUCAUGCCAUAGGCCUUAACCAAUGCUGUCAGCUUAGUCAAUGCAUCAAAACAGUAAUAGCAAAUCAAACUUUGAUAUUAAGCAAGCAUCAAGAAGUAAUCAUGAUUUGUGCACUGUGAUCUACUCAUCCCCUCUAUUUUAAAUUUAAAGUUAGAUCACAUUUUAACUCUGGAAUCCUUUGAAGGUGCCUAUGAAAGUUACCAAUCAAUAACUUCAUGACUUGGCCUGCUCAGCUAAAAACUUAGAAAGAAGUUCACAUGAAACGGACAAUAAGCCUAAAAGUUUCAAACAGAGCUCUAUUCACAUAAAUCCUCAUAUUGCUAGUCACCAUUCGCCAAUAGGGUGGGACCUUAACUUUGCCAGCCAACACCAAAUGGCUGGAAAUGGCUCGAUUAUUUCAAUAUUCCUCUUUCCAUGAGCACAAGCCGUAAGCCAUAGGAAUCAUCAAAGUUAUAGGAACCUCUGUCCAUUUUAAACUUGCCUUCUUUCAUUAUUUUCAUAGGACAUUUCAGCCUAACACCACAUAAUUUAAGAUUAAGCUAAGGAAUAAAGGUUCUGCUUCACAUUCCACCAAAAGUUCCUGCCAUAACAAGCAUUUCACUGUGAUAAUAGUGCUUGCAACCCAACACAUGGUAAAGUGAGUGAAUGCUGGUAUUAGCUGAGCAAUAUUUAUGCAUUGCUAGAAAAAAAUAACAAUAGCAACAAAGAAUUACUGUGAACGAGGGGCCAUCCCACUUGCAUUUCCAAAGUGAUGCCCUGCAACAAUCACCGGAAUCCCAUGGUUUCCCGCAGCAACAGAGGCUGUAUGCGUGCCAUGGCCAUCACCAUCAAAGGGUGAAGCAUAAUCCUGAGUAGAAUUGAAAAUUCCCCUGGUGAUAGCAGAAGCUGCAAAAUGGCGGGCUGCAAUAAGCUUCCUAUUGCACGAACCAGAAGGGAAGUCUCGAGUAACCUCACAAAUACCGGAAAAAUGACUAGGGACUGGAUAUGAGUUCUUAGAAAGAUCAUCAGAAAAACUAGGGUGAGUUGGAUCAAUGCCAGUAUCAAUGAAACCAAUCACAAUUCCUUCACCAGCAGUUUCAUAUCCGCCUUCCUUGAGCCAUGCCCCUUUUGGCAGACCCAAGAACUGUGGAGUAUGGGUGGUUGCUGUUCUAACAGAGAAAUCCAGAACCACAUUUGCCACUUCUCUCCUCCUCGAAAGCUUGUCCGCCUUAGAAAUUGGCCGGGACAAGAAAACGUCAGGUAAUUUUCUUUUCACAAGGACAAAAAAUUUCCAUCAUAUGGUCAAAAGUUGGAAGGGAAUUUAUGAUUCAAAAAAGCAACUAAAAAAGCAGCACACAACUAUUACUUUUGCAUUUACAGGUUCUGUUACCAAUAAAUUACAUUAGAGAAGGAAAAAGAAAAAAAAAUUGCAAUGAUAGCACUGCUAUGGGUUACCAGCAUAAUCAUGGUCAUAGCAUGAUAGUGAAUGAUGAUGCUGCAUAUACCUGUUGUGAGGUAACAAGAACAGCAAAUCCAUUGAUCAAGUAGUGAUAACUGUACAGCUUCAGAUAUUUCUCUCCCCUCAAUACCCUCCUCAAUAAUGAAUCAUGAACUCGAGUUAUAUAAGAAUCAGAACUCUGAUGAGAAAUCCAUUUGUUCCUCGGUCCGUGCAGGUUUUUUCGUCUAUGAGGAGAACCAUGGUUGAACACGUUAGUUUCCUUUUUGAGCUCUCCAUAGUAGUGAGCAGCAGGAGCUUGUUUAAGGGUCACAAUGUACACAGCUGUAAUUGAACUAUCAGAAUCAUUCUGACACAAAAUGCCCACAAACAACCCCAAGCAAAAAACCACCAAUAAUUGCACCCAGUAAACGCGGUCCAUUAAAAAACAACUGAGUGGGAACUAAAACAAAAUUCCCAGAAACCAAAUACCACCAAGAUGAACGAACAAUCACAAGCUUCAGCCUUUAAGUCUUCAACAACUCGUAUACUCCCACCAGCCUUUUCUCCAACAAACAAAUAUUAAAGAAAACCCAGAAAUUCAGAGACCCUUCAGUGGAAUUGGGAAACAGCUGCAAAGAAGAAAAGUUGCAGAGAGAGAGAGAAAUGUAUAUGCCCGUCAAGCCCCCAUGGAGGAGGAGUGAAAUGACACAGAAAAACAGGGGUUUUAGUGGAGAGAAAGUGCCCUUCUGUUCACUUUUGAGAUAGAAAGAGAGAGAGACAGAAAUAGAUUAGAAUAUUAAUAGGAAGAGCAUAGAGUAGAGAAAGAAUCUGCAACUUUUCUUGGGUGGUGUGAA
rnacentral:misc_RNA from 1 species